AGUGAACGCUGGCGGUAGGCCUAACACAUGCAAGUCGAACGGCAGCACAGUAAGAGCUUGCUCUUACGGGUGGCGAGUGGCGGACGGGUGAGGAAUACAUCGGAAUCUACUUUUUCGUGGGGGAUAACGUAGGGAAACUUACGCUAAUACCGCAUACGACCUACGGGUGAAAGCAGGGGAUCUUCGGACCUUGCGCGAUUGAAUGAGCCGAUGUCGGAUUAGCUAGUUGGCGGGGUAAUGGCCCACCAAGGCGACGAUCCGUAGCUGGUCUGAGAGGAUGAUCAGCCACACUGGAACUGAGACACGGUCCAGACUCCUACGGGAGGCAGCAGUGGGGAAUAUUGGACAGUGGGCGCAAGCCUGAUCCAGCCAUACCGCGUGGGUGAAGAAGGCCUUCGGGUUGUAAAGCCCUUUUGUUGGGAAAGAAAAGCAGCAGGUUAAUACCCCGCUGUUCUGACGGUACCCAAAGAAUAAGCACCGGCUAACUUCGUG
rnacentral:rRNA from 1 species